UACGCCUCGGCGAAACGGUAACCGCCUCUUCUUGGUUCAUGAUUUGGAGUUUCGCCCGCUCUCCCGUGGCGAUCCUCCAUCGCCUCCGCAGAUCUGGACGCUGCGGCGGCGAGAAGGGGGCUUUCCGCCCUAGCAGAUCGCCCUGUUCCCGGCCGGCCUGGCCUGGACCCCAGCGGCGGAUCCGUGUGGUGUAGCUAGGGUUCCCCGUCGUUGGGAAGGCGCCUACGACAUCCACAUCUCCCAACUCCUCGGCGUCCACUACAUGGCCGGUGGUGACCUCAUCUGCGAGGAGCUCGUCUCCUCCGGCCCCAUCUAUCUCGAGACAGGAAUGGUUGAUGGGCAGCUACAGUCAGGCAGUGGAAGAAUUCUGCCGCCCCGGAAGUGUUACAAGCACCAAACAUCGAAUACCACAAAUUGUUGCUCGGGAACUUGGAUGAACUUUGAACUCAGCCCACGUAUUGAAGAGGGAGAAUUGGAUCAUAUAGUCAAAACGACGCCUAAAAUACAUAGGUUGCCUUGAACUAUAUUUUUUUAGGUUGCCUUGAACUAUAUUUUUUUGAUGCCUUGGGUAGGGUUCUGAGUAUUGAUAAACUAAUGCACAAUAAUUUAUUCUCAAUGUUUAAACUUGGUUUUAUUAUUAUAUAAUUCGAUAGACUCUGCUUUUGAA